rnacentral:lncRNA from 1 species
GGACAUAAUAAAAUGAGCAGAUGUUGACACAGUGUGUAUUUUAAUUUUAGUGGCAGAAAUUGAGAGGGGACUAGGGUCCUUGCACAAGGCCAGGGAGAGCAUCAGGCAGGCGUAUGCAGAUAUGGAUCCGGAGGUGGCUGAGUCACUGAGGCAGGAUACGGAUGCUGUGAUAGACAUUGGGGUCUCCUUCGAUGGGACCUGGCAGAAGCGAGGCUUCACCUCACACUACAGUGUGGGUGUCUGCAUUGACAUCCUGACAGGUCUCGUUAUAGAUUACGAGAUCCUGUCAUCUUACUGCCAUGCAUGCGCCUGUAAGAACAGUGUGUUGAAAGCAGGAGAAAUCAGUGAGGAGGAGUUUGACAGCUGGAAAGAAGGCCACAAGGCUGACUGCGCUAAAAACUUUGCUGGCUCCAGCAAGGCCAUGGAGCAGGAGGCUGCCAAAAGGAUGUGGGGUAGGUCAGUGAGCCGUCAUCAGCUCAGGUACACGGAGAUGCUGUCGGAUGGAGAUAGCUCAGCAUUCCGGCAGGUAGUAGAGCUGAAGCCCUACCCGGGUCAGGAGGUCACCAAACUCGAGUGCAUUAACCACGCUCACAAAAGAAUGGGCACUGCACUCAGAAAGAUAAGUGUAGGCAAAAAAUUGGGUGGCAAGGGAUCAGGGAAACUCACGGCAAAGAAGUGCAAAUCUCUACAAAAUUUUUACAGGGGGGCCAUUCUAAAUAAUCAGGGAAACAUUGAGGGCAUGAAGUCGGAGAUAUGGGCGGGCCUGCUCCAUUGCAUGUCUACUGACGAAGUGCCAUUGCACAACAGAUGCAACCCCCAGUGGUGCUUCUUUAGGAGGGCGGAAGACAACGGAGAGACCCCUGACAGCCACUCGCUUCACUCAAAAAACCAUUUGUCUCGGGAAGUGGGUCAGACACUUGUGCCCAUUUAUCAUCGAACGUCAAGUGACAGUCUCCUGCAAAAAAUGCAGCAUGGGGGCACACAAAAUAACAAUGAGUGCCUCAAUUCAGUUAUAUGGGCUCGCUGCCCAAAAACAGUGUUUGUGGGGAGAAACAGAGUGGAGGCGGCUGUAAGCAUGGCCAUAUCAUCUUUUAAUGAGGGUGCGUCAGCCAUCCUUAAUGUGAUGGCCAACCUGUGGCUGGAGAGCACAACAAUCACCCUAAACACCAUCAGGGAAGCUGACAUGCUGAGGGUCACCAAGGCAAAUGCCAUCCUGUCUCCUCAAACAAAGGGAAAGAGAAAACAUGAGAGCAAUGAAAGAAAAGUGAAAAGGCACCAGCAAGAACAGGAAGAGGGGGCGACAUAUGGUGCAGGGAUGGAAAUGUAGGCCCAAUGUUCUGUAUAUGCAAAUCAAUUAAUUACCAUAGCCUACUUAAACUAGAUUAAAAAAAUGAAUUGCAUGUUUUGUGUAAUCA